rnacentral:rRNA from 1 species
GACGUGAGGGCGCGAGCGUUGUCCGGAUUUAUUGGGCGUAAAGAGCUCGUAGGCGGCUUGUUGCGUCGGGCUGUGAAAACCCGCAGCUCAACUGUGGGCUUGCAGCCGAUACGGGGCAGGCUUGAGUUCGGUGAGGGGAGACUGGAAUUCCUGGAUGUAGCGGUGAAAUGACGCAGAUAUCAGGAAGAACACCCGUGGCGAAGGCGGCUCUCUGG